rnacentral:misc_RNA from 1 species
AGGGCUUAGGAAUUGAACACCAAUGCAGGGCCCCAAUCUCAGAUUGGGUGGCGAUAGCAAUUGCAUCAAGAGAAGUAAUAGUGAUAAUAGUAAUAGUGGCAGCGGCAGCAGCAGCAGCACCACCACCAUCACCACAAAGACGAACCUUGUGUGUCCAUGAUCCAAUAUUCGGGUGGUGGGGUUACUUCCAAUUUGUCUCGAAAGAAAGCUACCCCUCCA